CACAGAAUACAGAAAACAAGCCAUGAUUAAUAUGCCUGAAGGGUAAGUAGCACUAGAUCUCAGACCUUGUGCCUCAUGAUAAUACUGGACUACCUUGUUCUGGGAACACAGAGGCAGCUGGGAGUUAUGCUGGAUGGCACAGAGGCUGUGGAUGAAGAGGCUCCCAGCACUUGGGGUGCCCAAGCAUCGAGGAGCCGGGCCUGAAAAGCAGCAACAACUGGCAGGCAGAACAAGCCAGGGCUACAGGAGCCUUGGGUGAGAAGACGUGGCGCAGAGCCUGGGAGAUGCCAGGGAUGGUGGUCUCACGGUGCUCUCAGGGACACCUUUCAGUAGGCAAGGCGAAGCUUUGACGUGAGUCCUCAGCCAGGCGCUGCCUCAGACCCCAGGUCCCGGCAGCCUCGUUGUGCCUGUGGCCUCUCCGUCCUGCAAGUUCAGCUGCUUUCUAGUGCAAGAUGGUCUGGAAGAGCAAAGCCCACUGGGGAGGACCACAGCUCCACGUCUAAGGUGGAACUUGGAUUACAUAAAGGACCUGGAUUUGUUUGUCUGCGGCUCCCAACAGGAUGCCCUGUUGAAAUCUUAAUUGUACGAUGCUCAUGCUUUUGAGGAGUUGGUUAAGAACAAACAGUGCAUCGGAUGAAAUAAUUUCCAGAGGUCCUUUCCUUGUGACCAGGGCUUGAACCCACAGCCCAACGUGCUGCCCUUCUGCAAAUAAUACUCCAGUUUUCAACAGAGCUUGUUGAUAUUUUAGCCUGAAUGACUGAGAACUGGCUGUUUCCAGUGAUGGGGUUGAGAAACCAAGAAUGAAAAGAAGAGCUGCCACCUCUUCCUCUGCCUCCAUCUGCCUGAUAGAGAAGGUGAGCACAGCAGGUGGGGAUUUCCUCAGCAUCCGCUCUUGCACAAUUUAACACUUAUAUGGUAAUACCAUGUGAAGUUUGGGGACAUAAAAACAAGUGACAUGAGGUCUCUGUCCCCUAGUGGGGUGACAGACAUGUGAGCUGAUGGAUGGCAGCCCCUGUGGUGCAGUGUGGUGAGUGUUGU